GCAUAACAUCAGUUGCUGCACAGGUUGUUAUGUGUCGCGUGCCAGUUUAACACAUUCACGGAAGGAGUAUCACAGAAGUGGCGCUUUUAACACGAUUAGGGUUUCAGUUUGGUUUAGAUCAUUUCGAUCAAAAAAAAAUAAAAAAAAAUAAACGGACUUGAACUCGAACUACCCGAGUCCCCCUGUCUGCGGGCAUGGAUAUACAGUAACCUCAUUUUCAUGUUUGCUCUGCUCUGUACUGUAAACUUGUUCUACCUGUUUUGGGGCAGAGGAGGAAGAGAAGAGAAAGAAGAGGGGAGGAUCCUAAAAGUUAUAAGAAGCUAAAAGAAGACUGAUGCUACACUGACACUCCACUGAUGAGUUCAGGUCAACUACUACACGCUAUCUGGCAACAAUGGCUUCACCGAGGGGUCACCAUCGACGCGGAAGCAUGGAGCUGCCACCUAACAUGUUAUCUGAUGUUUUUCAUCUCACAGAUGAAUUGACUAGACUUUAUAAGGACAUUUCCCUAGAAUGUAACAAGCAUUUGGAUAAAAUUCAUGAUCUCACCAAUGAGUUUAAAAAUGGUAACAGACUUGCUAUUUAUGCACUCAGUGGAGGAGUAAUAACUGGAGGAAUCGCACUGGUGUUGUCGGCAUUAUCAUUUUUUGUAAUUGAUGAAGAGGAUUCUGAAUUGUUUUCUGUAGCAGGGGCAGCUGUGGCUGUAGUUGCUGUAUUAUGUACUGCUUUUGGACUAAACAGGAAAACACAGCAAAAGAAGAAAUUAAAACGAUCUGUUGAAGAGGAACUUAAUGGAUUUCAGGAUAAAAUGAACCCUAUAAUUGACAUGCUGGAAAAAAUCGGUCAAUGCACUGAGGAAAUAUUGAGAGACCCUUCACUAUCAUACCACAAAACCCAGGCAUUAAGUGAACAUUUUGCCUACUGCUUUGAAAAAAGACACCUGUUUCAGGAACAUGACAGGAGUAAAGUGGGUGACCAGAUGUCUAAAAUUGUGCAUUUGUCUGGAAACAUUUCAGAAAUGAUCGCCAAAGUUAGUUCUGUGCCUGAUAUCCUCAAAGAGAUUAUCGAAGACAACAAGAAGCAACGUGCCAAACCUGCCAAACCCAGACAGGAACAGAUACAUAAAAGAGAGUUUAAGGAGAAAGCAGAGAAAUUCAUUAAUGAUAUGCAGAAAGGAAUAUGCAUGAUAAAAAAUAGCGUGAAAGAAAUCAGUCAAAUAACAUACAGAAUAUCAGAUAUUUUGAGUUGAACCUGACAAACUGAAAAGGUAUGAACUGCUGAGACAGAACUUGUUAUUAGAUCCACCUGACAGAGGACAACACUAGCAACCAUCAGAUUGCAUUGAAGAAUUUCAGCAUUUUAUUUUCCUACAAAGAGUUUAAGGAGAAAGCAGAUAAAUUCAUUGAUGAUAUGCAGAAAGGAAUAUAUGAGUUAAACAAAUGUGUGUGUGUGUGUGUAUAUAUGUAUAUAUAUGGCUAAAGAAAUUUAUACUUUGUUAAAUGCAUAAAUCCAGG
rnacentral:lncRNA from 1 species